AAUACAAAUAGGCUCAUGUAACUAAUCAU
rnacentral:piRNA from 1 species